GGAUUGGACAAUGGGCGCAAGCCUGAUCCAGCCAUGCCGCGUGGGUGAAGAAGGCCCUAGGGUUGUAAACCCCUUUCAGCGGGGAAGAUAAUGACGGUACCCGCAGAAGAAGCCCCGGCUAACUCCGUGCCAGCAGCCGCGGUAAUACGGAGGGGGCUAGCGUUGUUCGGAAUUACUGGGCGUAAAGCGCGCGUAGGCGGACCUGCAAGUCGGGGGUGAAAGCCCGAGGCUCAACCUCGGAACUGCCUUCGAUACUGCGGGUCUCGAGUCCGGGAGAGGUGAGUGGAAUUCCUAGUGUAGAGGUGAAAUUCGUAGAUAUUAGGAAGAACACCAGUGGCGAAGGCGGCUCACUGGCCCGGUACUGACGCUGAGGCGCGAAAGCGUGGGGAGCAA
rnacentral:rRNA from 1 species